rnacentral:rRNA from 1 species
UACGGAGGGUGCAAGCGUUGUCCGGAAUCACUGGGCGUAAAGGGCGCGUAGGCGGCUCAUGAAGGCUGUGGUGAAAGUCUGGGGCUCAACCUCGGAUCGGCCGUGGCGACUCGUGGGCUGGAGCACUGUAGAGGCGGGUGGAAUUCCGGGUGUAGCGGUGGAAUGCGUAGAGAUCCGGAAGAACACCAGUGGCGAAGGCGGCUCACUGGCCCGUUACCGACGCUCAGGCGCGACAGCGUGGGGAGCAAACAGG